UACGUAGGGUGCAGGCGUUAAUCGGAAUUACUGGGCGUAAAGCGUGCGCAGGCGGUCUUUUAAGUCAGAUGUGAAAUCCCCGGGCUUAACCUGGGAACUGCGUUUGAAACUGGAAGGCUUGAGUGUGGCAGAGGGGGGCGGAAUUCCACGUGUAGCAGUGAAAUGCGUAGAUAUGUGGAGGAACACCGAUGGCGAAGGCAGCCCCCUGGGCUAACACUGACGCUCAUGCACGAAAGCGUGGGGAGCAAACAGG
rnacentral:rRNA from 1 species